GAUGAAGAACGUAGUGAAAUGCGAUAAGUAAUGUGAAUUGCAGAAUUCAGUGAAUCAUCGAAUCUUUGAACGCACCUUGCGCCCUUUGGCUAUUCCGAAGGGCAUGCCUGUUUGAGUAUCAUGAACAUCUCAACUCCUCACGGUUCGCCCGUGACGAGCUUGGACUUUGGGGGUCUUGCCGGCCUGCGGGUCAGCUCCUCUCAAAUGAAUCAGCUUGCCGGUGUUUGGUGGCGUCACAGGUGUGAUAAAUAUCUACGCUUGUGGUUUUCUGCCAGGUAACCUCCAGCGAUGGGGGUUCACUGGAGCUCACGAAUGUCUCUCCUCGGUGAGGACAGCUCUUUGAACGUUUGAACUCAAAUCAGGUAGGGCUACCCGCUGAACUUAAGCAUAUCAAUAAGCGGAGGA
rnacentral:misc_RNA from 1 species